CAGUCGCCACGGUAAUACGUAGGGUGCAAGCGUUAAUCGGAAUUACUGGGCGUAAAGCGUGCGCAGGCGGCUAUGCAAGACAGAUGUGAAAUCCCCGGGCUCAACCUGGGAACUGCAUUUGUGACUGCAUGGCUAGAGUACGGUAGAGGGGGAUGGAAUUCCGCGUGUAGCAGUGAAAUGCGUAGAUAUGCGGAGGAACACCGAUGGCGAAGGCAAUCCCCUGGACCUGUACUGACGCUCAUGCACGGAAGCGUGGGGAGCAAACGGGAUUAGAUACCCCUGUAGUCCCUGUCUCUUAUAC
rnacentral:rRNA from 1 species